GCAGGAAAAGCAGUCAGGGCAUGGCGGAGGGGUGGGGGACACAACAUUUGCUCACCGACCGCCCCAUCCCGAGCAAUCAAGGUGUUGAAGCUGUUAUCAAAAUAACCCAUGCAGCCCGGCAGAAGUGCCUCGGGGAAGAAUAAGUGAGGGAAUGAAAGGCCCCGGUGUCGCAGGCAAGAGCUUGUCAGGCUCCUUUCCCCGCGGUACAAAGGACGACUGGCUUGAUUUGUGGGGAAGGCAGUUCUGUGACAAAUGGGGAACUCAGUGAAACUAUUCAGGUCUCCCCCCGGCAGCUGAAGUUGAGGCCGUUUGAAUAGCGAGCGCGGGGGCGAGGGGUUCGUUGUUGUCGAUGCGCUGGAGCGGUUUUAAUUGGAGGCAAGUGUCUUUGCAGGGAACAGUUGCGGAGAGCGAAGAAGCAGGUGGCAAAUUCUGGCUUUUCCAGAGCCGUAUCCAUUGCUGAGCGGCCACGUUUGGCGGUGACUAAACAGAAAACUUGCGGUUUGGUCCAUUUGGAGAGCACUCUGUUAACGCCAGUUGGAUUGCAGUUCAGGAGCUGAAGAAGCUAGGACUGGGAGAUGACGUGGAUC